rnacentral:rRNA from 1 species
AGAGUUUGAUCAUGGCUCAGAUUGAACGCUAGCGGCAUGCUUAACACAUGCAAGUCGAACGGUAGCAGGUCUAGCUUGCUAGAUGCUGACGAGUGGCGGACGGGUGAGUAACGCGUAGGAAUCUACCUUGUAGUGGGGGAUAACUUGGGGAAACCCAAGCUAAUACCGCAUGAGCCCUAAGGGGGAAAGCAGGGGACCGAAAGGCCCCGUGCUAUGAGAUGAGCCUGCGUCGGAUUAGCUAGUUGGUGGGGUAAAGGCCUACCAAGGCGACGAUCCGUAGCUGGUCUGAGAGGACGACCAGCCACACUGGGACUGAGACACGGCCCAGACUCCUACGGGAGGCAGCAGUGGGGAAUAUUGGACAAUGGGCGCAAGCCUGAUCCAGCAAUGCCGCGUGUGUGAAGAAGGCCUGCGGGUUGUAAAGCACUUUCAGUAGGGAGGAAGGCCUCAAUGUUAAUAGUAUUGAGGAUUGACGUUACCUACAGAAGAAGCACCGGCUAACUCUGUGCCAGCAGCCGCGGUAAUACAGAGGGUGCAAGCGUUAAUCGGAAUUACUGGGCGUAAAGGGCGCGUAGGUGGUUUUUUAAGUCAGAUGUGAAAUCCCUGGGCUUAACCUAGGAAUUGCAUUUGAAACUAGAUGGCUAGAGUAUGGUAGAGGGAAGUGGAAUUUCCGGUGUAGCGGUGAAAUGCGUAGAUAUCGGAAGGAACACCAGUGGCGAAGGCGACUUCCUGGACCAUUACUGACACUGAGGCGCGAAAGCGUGGGGAGCGAACAGGAUUAGAUACCCUAGUAGUCC